rnacentral:rRNA from 1 species
GUGGGGAAUCUUGCGCAAUGGGCGAAAGCCUGACGCAGCCAUGCCGCGUGGAUGAUGAAGGUCUUAGGAUUGUAAAAUCCUUUCACCGGUGAAGAUAAUGACUGUAGCCGGAGAAGAAGCCCCGGCUAACUUCGUGCCAGCAGCCGCGGUAAUACGAAGGGGGCUAGCGUUGCUCGGAUUUACUGGGCGUAAAGGGCGCGUAGGCGGACAUUUAAGUCAGGGGUGAAAUCCCGGGGCUCAACCUCGGAACUGCCUUUGAUACUGGGUGUCUUGAGUAUGAGAGAGGUGUGUGGAACUCCGAGUGUAGAGGUGAAAUUCGUAGAUAUUCGCAAGAACACCAGUGGCGAAGGCGGCUUACUGGUCCGGUUCUGACGCUGAGGCGCGAAAGCGUGGGGAGCAAACAGGAUUAGAAACCCUUGUAGUCC